rnacentral:rRNA from 1 species
CCUACGGGGGGCUGCAGUAGGGAAUAUUGCACAAUGGAGGAAACUCUGAUGCAGCGACGCCGCGUGAGUGAUGAAGGCCUUCGGGUCGUAAAGCUCUGUCGCAGGGGAAUAAUAAAGUGAAGGUACCCUGCAAGAAAGGAUCGGCUAACUUCGUGCCAGCAGCCGCGGUAAGACGAGGGAUCCUAGCGUUGUUCGGAAUCAUUGGGCGUAAAGCGGGUGUAGGUGGCUAUGUAAGUCAGAUGUGAAAGCCUGGGGCUUAACCCCAGAAGUGCAUU